GAUGAACGCUGGCGGCGUGCCUAAUAAAUGCAAGUCGAGCGAACAGACGAGGAGCUUGCUCCUCUGACGUUAGCGGCGGACGGGUGAGUAACACGUGGAUAACCUACCUAUAAGACUGGGAUAACUUCGGGAAACCGGAGCUAAUACCGGAUAAUAUAUUGAACCGCAUGGUUCAAUAGUGAAAGACGGUUUUGCUGUCACUUAUAGAUGGAUCCGCGCCGCAUUAGCUAGUUGGUAAGGUAACGGCUUACCAAGGCAACGAUGCGUAGCCGACCUGAGAGGGUGAUCGGCCACACUGGAACUGAGACACGGUCCAGACUCCUACGGGAGGCAGCAGUAGGGAAUCUUCCGCAAUGGGCGAAAGCCUGACGGAGCAACGCCGCGUGAGUGAUGAAGGUCUUCGGAUCGUAAAACUCUGUUAUUAGGGAAGAACAAAUGUGUAAGUAACUAUGCACGUCUUGACGGUACCUAAUCAGAAAGCCACGGCUAACUACGUG
rnacentral:rRNA from 1 species